rnacentral:rRNA from 1 species
UACGUAGGGGGCAAGCGUUGUCCGGAAUCAUUGGGCGUAAAGAGCGUGUAGGCGGCUUGGUAAGUCCGCUGUGAAAGUCCAGGGCUCAACCCUGGAAUGCCGGUGGAAACUGUCAAGCUUGAGUCCGGAAGAGGCGAGUGGAAUUCCCGGUGGAGCGGUGAAAUGCGUAGAGAUCGGAAAGAACACCAACGGCGAAAGCACUCUGCUGGGCCGACACUGACACUGAGAGACGAAAGCUAGGGGAGCGAAUGGG